UACGUAGGGGGCAAGCGUUGUCCGGAAUCAUUGGGCGUAAAGAGCGUGUAGGCGGCUCGAUAAGUCCGCUCUGAAAGCCCGGGGCUCAACCCCGGGAGGCGGGCGGAUACUGUCGAGCUAGAGUCCGGAAGAGGCGAGUGGAAUUCCUGGUGUAGCGGUGAAAUGCGCAGAUAUCAGGAGGAACACCAACGGCGAAAGCACUCUGCUGGGCCGACACUGACACUGAGAGACGAAAGCUAGGGGAGCGAAUGGG
rnacentral:rRNA from 1 species